AAUGAAUGAAGAUCUUGCUCUUAUUAAGUUACCGGCGGAUGGGUGAUUAACACGUGUCUAACCGGCCCAUAAGGGAGGGAUAACUCCGGGAAACCGGGGCUAAUACCGGUCAACAUUUUGAACCUGAGGGAUCUUCAUUGAAAGGCCGCUUCGACUGUCCCUUAUGGAAGGACCCGCGUCGCAAUAUCUAGGUGGUGAGGUAACAGCUCACCAAGGUGACCAUACAUAACCAACCUGAGAGGGUGAUCUGCCACACUGGGACUGAGACUCGGCCCAGACUCCUACGGGAGGCAGCAAUAGGGAAUCUUCCGCAGUGGACGAAAUUCUGACGGAGCAACGCCGCGUGAGUGAUUAAGGCUUUCGGGUCGUAAAACUCUGUUGUUAGGGAAUAACACCUGCUAGUUGAAUAAUCUGGCACCUUGACGGUACCUAACCACUUCGCCACGGCUAACUACGUGCCACCAACCGCG
rnacentral:rRNA from 1 species